rnacentral:rRNA from 1 species
CGUAGUUGGCCGGGCCUUCUUCUGGAGGUACCGUCAUUUUCGUCCCUCCUGAAAGCGGUUUACAACCCGAAGGCCUUCAUCCCGCACGCGGUGUCGCUGCAUCAGGCUUUCGCCCAUUGUGCAAUAUUCCCUG